CAGCCAGUGCUCUGCAGGUCUUUCACAGACAGGGGUGCAGCCAGGUGGGGAGGUUUGUUGUCAACCAAAUUGCUAUGCAGUCACUCCCACUGUGUGACCACACAGGGACCUGGCCAGGAAUGCUAGUGGGGGGCAGAGCAUGGGGACAGGACAGCCCCGACUUCUUCUGGCAAGGGGGAUUGGGUGCAGGAUGGGGACUUCCCUCCCAAGGGAGGAGGGCAAACAUUUAUAUAUGGUUUUCAGUGGCUCUGUAAUACAGAGCGUUGCUCUCCACCAGUUCCUCCAGCAAAUCCUCAAAGGCAAGAACCACUCUUAUGGUUGCUCCCGGCAGCAGCCUAUGCAGAGAUGAGCUCUCCAUGGGGACAACAGAGCUGGCACCACAGGGUACCACCACUGGUUUUGUCCCUGGCAGGGGCCAUGGAAGAGACUACACUUCACGUUCUUCUCAUGUCUUCCAGUGACGAAGUAUGUUUUGUGCGACCCUUGUGCUGGCACAGCCUUUGUGUCACCCUGGCUGCCAGACCUCCCCGAGGGAAAGAGCUGCCCGAAGAGGCUCAGCAGCGUUGUGGUCGGGGACAGCAGGAGGUCUCAUGGCACUUCUCGUUCUGUUGAUGGUCAGAAAGGGGAGAAGACAAGAAGAGCAGCCACAUGGAUCUGUGUGCUGCAAAAGAUUCAUAAUCUUCUUGCACAAAAUGCAUUAUUAAACCUUGACUUUAGAGCUGUCUUUUGUAAUAAACUAGAAUAUAUGAAAGAAGUAGAAAAAUACGAUAACUGUAAAUUUACUUUAUUCAUAAUUUCAUGGUAUAAUCUGACCAAAAUGCAGAUAUUUCGCCAUUACUGGAUCAAAUACUACAAAAGGCUUUAAGCAACAACCCCAGAUUUAAGAAACAGCUAUUGACUGCAUGACUGUCCAGAAAAUGGAGUUUAUUUGGUGGUUAUCUUCUCCUUUUGAGACAUGAAUCUCUGUGCUAUCAGCACUUAAAGAUAGCUUGAAAAUGCAGUCCAAGUAGACGGAAGAAUUAAGAUCCCAUUUGUGAGAAUCAAAAGUACUUUAACUGACACGUGGCAGCUGUGUCUUAGCAAAAGCCCCUGAGCUCUAAUAACAGUGGAAAAGGAGAGCUGUGGGGAAAAAACAAAAAAAGAAAAAAAGAAAUACCACUUCUCUGUUCUGCACCUAGAAGAUGACAACUCAUGAACCCUGAACCCUGGAACUGUGUCUGCCUGGUGUGGGUGGUACAGGACACCUGACAUGCUCAGCCGAAAUAAGAGAGCUAGUCCAAGUCUACAAUCCACCCCUCUUUUGCAUUUAGACAAUGCAGUGCCAGCCAGACUAUUAGACAUUAUGAUUCAGUUAUUUGCUACUUGUGCAAAAGCUAGACUGAGCGAGCUGAUCCGUGUGAUGCAAAUAGCAAUGAAAUUGGUCUAGUUUGCCUAUGUCAGGAAUAUGAGGCUGUGUAUACUGUUUAGCAUAGAUAUUAGGUGGCGUGCCUAAAAGAUUUUCUGCAAUGCUGAGUCUCCUGAAGACAGAUAUCUAGCUAGAAUAAAAACCUACCUUUUUUUUUUAUUUUUUAAGCUCCAAAGAUGAGACACGGACUUGAAUGCUGAGGUUAUUUCAUUUUAUUUUUAAGCCCAUGCUGUGACUCCCACUAGACUCAGCAGUGGGGAAUGAGUCGCACACACGGCUCAAAACACGAUGUGCACGUACUCUGCUGGGUACAGCUAGUCCAAAGCCCAGAAAAGGAGGAACAGAGAAGACAAUACUUACACCCGGGUCUUUGCUGGGGCUGGGCAGCCACCAGGUACCAGCAGAGACCCGCACUUAAAUGAAAGACAGGAGCAAAGCAAUCGAUCUGAGGAAUCAACAUCCACAGCUCAAGCCCUUGCUCAGCAUGUUGUGGGAACCCAAUAACAGUUUUUUUACACUAGUCCUGAUCUGUAGAGAGUGGAGUGUGCCUGACCUGUUGGGCUGCCGGGAUGCUGGCGGAGCAAAUGCUUGUUGUGAAUUUAACCUGAAACACCACAAUGUGAGAAGGACCGGAAAGAGAAGUGGAACUUUGUGUGGGUUUCACACUAGUGGGUUUUACUAUCAUAUUACUAUCUCACUGAUUUUAUAUGGAGAAGCUUACAUUAAAGAUUUUUAGUAAAACUUUCUGGGAAUAAAUCUGCAUUAGGAAAGUAAACACCCAACCUUUCUUUACCCUAUGUACAAGUUUCCAACUGAACAACACCACGUCUGAUCUGUGAUGAAUAUCCAUAUUAUCUGUAAAUGUGUCAAAUGUAUGUCUUCAAAAUUAAGCUGUUUCAUUAAAAAUAAUACACGCAGUGCUAGUAAUCACACAGAAAAAUCUUUGUAAAACAGGGAAGUCAGGUCCAGGUGAAAGCCAUUGGACCUGGGCUGGUAAAUCUUAAUUGCUGUUUUUACAAGAGGUCCACCAUUUCCAAGACAUUGCAACUUCAGUCAAUUAAAUUACAAAUCCAAAUAAAGCAUCUGCUCAUAAAGAAGAAAACUCCAGCUGAAAUGCUUCAUUUCCUAAGCUACUUAUCUAUUUUUAAUCUCUCACCUUUCUUCACAGAAAAAUACCAUCACCGUAAAAGAGUUUUAAGAAAAAUGUAUUUGUUCAUAAACUUGGCUAGUAGUACAAAUCUUGUGAUAUACAAUAAAGUGCAAUAUUGAAUCUGA